rnacentral:lncRNA from 1 species
GGCCACCUUGAAUAUUAUUUCAAGCUUUUCCUCAUGUUUUCUCACCUCCAUGUUACCAUAGGUCUCCCCCUCCUUUUCUUGCAUUCUUCAAAAUAAAUUAAAGUAUCUCCCUUUACUGGAGCCCCCUCAUUUUCAUUGUGCAACUGCACACCAUUUUAAUAGACUCUCCAUAACUGUCUUUAAUUUGUGUAACUCCUACAUCUGGUUUAAUAUGUUUUUGUUCUGUCCUCCCUAGCUUUACCAUACAAAUCCAUCUUACAAUUCUAAUUUUUGCUACACUUGGCUUAUUUUCUUCAACCCUUUAUGAACUAUAUAACAUUGUAGGUCUCGUUGUUCCAUAAAAUUGCUUUUCUAGUCACUUAGGUAUGUGUUGAUCACAUAAUACCUUAAAAAGCACCUCUCGACUUUAUCCAACCAACUCCAAUUCUAUAGUUCUCUAUCAUCUUAUAUAAUGGUUCUAACUUCUAAAUAAUACAACAGAUCACUUCGUGGCAUUUCUUGUCCAUCCAUCUUAAUUAAGAUCCCAUUUUCUAUUAAGUUUCCACUGAAUUUCCAUUCCAUAUGUUCUGUUUUUUUCCCCUAAACUUAAAUCCUUUUCCU